rnacentral:rRNA from 1 species
UACGGAAGGUCCAGGCGUUAUCCGGAUUUAUUGGGUUUAAAGGGAGCGUAGGCUGGAGAUUAAGUGUGUUGUGAAAUGUAGACGCUCAACGUCUGAAUUGCAGCGCAUACUGGUUUCCUUGGGUACGCACAGCGUUGGCGGAAUUCGUCGUGUAGCGGUGAAAUGCUUAGAUAUGACGAAGAACUCCGAUUGCGAAGGCAGCUGACGGGAGCGCAACUGACGCUUAAGCUCGAAGGUACGGGUAUCAAACAGGAUUAGAUACCCUGGUAGUCAAGGGCG